rnacentral:rRNA from 1 species
CCUACGGGAGGCAGCAGUGGGGAAUAUUGGGCAAUGGGCGCAAGCCUGACGCAGCAAUGCCGCGUGAAGGAAGAAGGCUUUCGGGUUGUAAACUUCUUUUCUAAGGGACGAAGAAAGUGACGGUACCAUAGGAAUAAGUUCAGGCUAACUACGUGCCAGCAGCCGCGUUACUACGUAGGGAGAGAGCGUUAUCCGGAUUUACUGGGUGUAAAGGGCGUGUAGGCGGGAUGGCAAGUCAGGCGUGAAAACUAUGGGCUCAACCCAUAGCCUGCGUUUGAGACUGCCGUGCUUGAGUGAUGGAGAGGGAGGUGGAAUUCCGGGUGUAGCGGUGAAAUGCGUAGAGAUACGGAGGAACACCAGUGGCGAAGGCGGCCUGCUGGACAUUAACUGACGCUGAGGCGCGAAAGCGUGGGGAGCAAACAGGAUUAGAUACCCUGGUAGUC